GGCUAGUGAGCAGAUAAGCCUCUCAGUCUGGAUCAAGGAGAAAAGAAGAAAGUCCACAUGCCCAGUGCCCCAGUUUCUCAUCUCAAUGCUAGUCCCUGCCUCCUCUACAAGAAACAAAGCUCGUAAGCUUACACACACAGGGAUGCUGGAGGAAUGACUAAACAACAUGAAAGCUCUCUGCAAUGAUUAAAAUGUCAAUAAAGGACUGCCAGGUGUGACAAUCAUGGGAUAACCCAGUGGAAAUGUGAAGGAAGAGGGAUGAUGUCCAGCAUGAGAUGAAGCCAGUCAGGGAAAAAGGACAGCAGUGGCAAGUGCUCAGCAACAGCUUCAGAGAAAAGGACUGACACUGACAUAGAUGAAAGGCAAGGCUUAAGAUGACUGAUGCCCUGGACAACAUUUUGCCUGCAACUUUAUGAAAGACCCUGAGCCAGACCACUCCAGCUAAGCCUCUCUCUCCCAGAUCCCUGACACCCAGAAACUGUAUAACUGUAAACACUGGAGGGAAAACAUUUGAGGACACUGGGAGGUGAAUAUUCAGAGUUUGGAGAAAA